UCGUAACAAGGUUUCCGUAGGUGAACCUGCGGAAGGAUCAUUACUGAUUUGCUUAAUUGCACCACAUGUGUUUUGUUCUGGACAAACUUGCUUUGGCGGUGGGCCCCUGCCUGCCGCCAGAGGACAUAAACUUACAACCAAAUUUUUUAUAAACUUGUCACGAGAUUAUUUUUAAUAGUCAAAACUUUCAACAACGGAUCUCUUGGUUCUCGCAUCGAUGAAGAACGCAGCGAAAUGCGAUACGUAAUAUGAAUUGCAGAUAUUCGUGAAUCAUCGAAUCUUUGAACGCACAUUGCGCCCUCUGGUAUUCCGGAGGGCAUGCCUGUUUGAGCGUCGUUUCUCCCUCAAACCCCUAGGGUUUGGUGUUGAGCAAUACGACUUGGGUUUGCUUGAAAGAUGAUAGUGGUAUAAGGCGGAGAUGCUUGACAAUGGCUUAGGUGUAACCAAAAACAUUGCUAAGGCGGUCUCUGGCGUCGCCCAUUUUAUUCUUCAAACUUUGACCUCAAAUCAGGUAGGACUACCCGCUGAACCUAAGCAUAUCA
rnacentral:misc_RNA from 1 species